AACUCGCAGAGCAAUCUCCACAGCCGCAGGAGCUUUGCGAUCUUCUGCUGGUGUGAAUCUCAUCAGUCCCAAAACUCCACGUUUUGGCAAUCCAACGAAACCUGUAGCGUGUGGCCAUACAAACGAACAUACCUCGGUGUGAUCACUCACUCGAAAAUCUCUGCUUUUACGAGUGGAGUGAAUCAUCUUCCGAGCGUGUGGUUCUCCAUGGGAUAAGGCUGCUACUUUCUGUUUUUUCAGUAAGUAUUUUUCUGUUUGCUACUACUUGUUUGGUAAUUUGGUUUGCAAGCUUAAGCUCUUGAAACUGAUGAAAUCUGGCACCAGG
rnacentral:lncRNA from 1 species